rnacentral:rRNA from 1 species
AGUGAACGCUGGCGGCGUGCUUAACACAUGCAAGUCGAACGAGAACGGGCUAUAGCUUGCUAUAGUUGUCAGCUAAGUGGCGCACGGGUGAGUAAUGUAUAGGUAAUAUGCCUCUUACUAAGGGAUAACAAAUGGAAACGUUUGCUAAUACCUUAUACUCCUUAUUAACAGAAGUUAAUAAGGGAAAGAUUUAUUGGUAAGAGAUUAGCCUGUAUUGUAUCAGUUAGUUGGUGGGGUAAUGGCUUACCAAGACUAUGACACAUAACUGGUUUGAGAGGAUGAUCAGUCAAACUGGAACUGAGACACGGUCCAGACUCCUACGGGAGGCAGCAGUGGGGAAUAUUGCACAAUAGACUAAAGUCUGAUGCAGCAACGCCGCGUGGAGGAUGACACAUUUCGGUGCGUAAACUCCUUUUAUAUGAGAAGAUAAUGACGGUAUUAUAUGAAUAAGCACCGGCUAACUCCGUGCCAGCCGCCGCGGUAA